rnacentral:rRNA from 1 species
CAGUUCCAAUAACGUAUAUUAAAAUUGCUGCGGUUCAAAAGCUCGUAGUUGGAUUUCUGCUGAGGACGACUGGUCCGCCACUGGGGGAGUAUCUGGCUCGGCCUUGGCAUCUUCUUGGAGAACGUAUCUGCACUUGACUGUGUGGUGCGGUAGCCAGGACCUUUACUUUGAGGAAAUUAAAAUGUUUCAAGCAGGCGUGC